GAUCUGAUUGGCUGACAGCUUUUAAACACGUGAUAAAACAAUUAUUUUCAAGGCCAGAUUUGUUUACAAGAACUCGAUAAGAUUUUCAAGAUUUUAUUUGAAAGUCAAUACGGGACACAUUGAGUUAUCUUGAAGGCGUUGGUUGAAACCAUUUCGUUUCCUGAUGUCUGUAUUCCCGUUGGUCAGUUGGAUUCUGUUAGAACUGUUGAUAACUAAGGAAUUGUACGCGUUGCAAUGUGAGCUAGGCACGUACCACAGAUACAGAAAGGAUGGUCGAGAACGAUGCAAGAAAUGCACACUGUGCAAUGCAGGAGAAGGCUGGAAUACCAGCGUUGAGAUAAAGGUUGAUGCUGAGCACGGUUAUUUGGAGUGUUAUCGAUGCUCUGUGUGUCUGGAGGGGUAUUACCGGCCAACACAUUCAGCUUUUCAGACAUGCUAUAAAUGCCAGUUAGACUGUAAGCGUUUAAACAGAUAUGGUUCGGUAUCAUGUGGGUAUGAUUCGCCUGGGCAUUGCGGAGACUGUAUGUCAGGGUAUAAAGCAGAGAGUCGUGAACCAAACGAUAUUUGUUUCGAGACAGAUGUUAGGAAACAGACCACGGAAAUGAAAGUGCCAACACCUUCAAGACCACAGAACUCUUGGACCUUGGAUACUUCACAGAUAGCCCUACUUAUCCUUGACUCAGCUACUAUGGUUGCAGUGUUGAUUACAAUUUUCACAAUGAUCAUUUGCCACUGGACCAAGAAACAUGAAACUUGCACCUUCAUCGGAAGAAGGUCUUCUUCCUACUGAUAAAUCUGCCCCUGUAUCAAAAGGUGAUCUUGACACUGACGGUCCUCAACCUGUCCCGGAAAGAGCUGAAUUAUGGUUGAAGAAUGAAUGUGAUGUUAUAUCAAUGGCAACAGCAGAGUUCUCAAACCCUCAUCACGUUGUUGAUCGUGCCAUUGACAAAGAUGACGAAACGCUUUCAAUGAUCGCCACAACGAUUAGUGGCAAAAAUGUUCCAAUAUUCUUUGAUCACCUUCAGAUACACAGAAGCAAAACAGAUCCAGAGGAAGAGUUGUGGGAACGAGGAAAGAUAACAUACCCGAAUUAUAUUCUUAAUGUAUUAGUAGAAUGGACCAAGUCUGCACAGCCGUUCCCAAAUCUAGUCUGGCUCUGUGAUUCUUUAAAGAAAGCAUCCUUUCAUAAAGUUGUGGAACAAAUUCUUACUCUUAAAGAAAAUCAAGUUGUUGUUAACGACUAAAAUGUAUGUUCCCGGCUCUUUCUUUACGUUUCUUAUAAGGAUCCGCUUAUAUGAUAUGGAUUAAAGGCCCAUUGACUUUAAGUUGAAAGUUGCAGUGUUUACUGAUUCUAGAAUAGUUUCUCAAAAUGAGAAAGAAUAUGUUAGACACUUCUCUAAUUAAUGGUGAAAUAAAUGUCACAUCGAUGUGCAAACAAUCUGCGACGAAACAAUCGCAGAAAUAAUGAAUAAAGCUUUUUAAUGAAUGUGUGUGUAAAAGUUGAUUUCAAAUUAUGAUGCACUCGUAAACUGACAGAUCAGGUAAAACCUAUAAUAUUUUAUGUCAGUAACUGUAUUAGUGAACCGUCAGUAUUAAGAGUAACAUCUUGUCUCCCAAGCUGACAUUCAAAGCUUACGAGUGGUAUUGACUCUCAUUUGGGGUUGAAAAAAGCUCAAAGGAGAUGAUUAUACUUUGUAUGUGUAUGUAUAUAUUGUGUAACAGACUAGUGAUAAGCAUUAGAGUUUUCAUGAUAGCUGUGGAUCUGUCUCACUGAAUUUGGUAGCUGUAUGAAACUAUCAUUUUUCAUGUUUUUCUUGUGAUUUAUGAACAAAAUGCAUUAGGUUUGAUGAUAGAUACUACGGUUUAUGUCCAAUGUAGGGACAUCAAAUGUGCACCUGGUAAAAAGUUUGUAUUAUUAAUAUACCAAGUGUACAAAUAAUGAGAAUGACUGUAACAGAGAAUAAUAUUUCUGCGAAGGCGUAUAGGGCAAAGAUUAUAAUUAUCCAUUGUUACUUCUGUGUGAUAUCUGAGAAGUGUUGAAGUUAUCGUUGACGUAAAUUUACAGUUUACUGUAAAAUCAUUUAAUUUCGUGGGCAUGAAAUUUCGUGGUUUAGGUCAGAAUGGCAAAUUCGUGGGGAUAUGAAUUCGUGGAUUACAACUUUUGAACAUAAAAUGAAUGGGAAUUCCACUUAUUCGUUGGGAUUAAAUUUCGUGGACUAACUCAACCACGAAUUCCACGAAAUUAAUCCCCCGCGAAUAUUAAUGAUUUCACAGUAUAUUUUAUUUAUUAAUAUGUUAUAUAUUUACUUCAUUUGUUAAUUUUUUAUAUUCUCUGUUUGUUGAACAACACAUUUUCAUUACUGAAAUUUUAAGAUAUUAAAAAGUUUGCUGUCUUUUA